rnacentral:rRNA from 1 species
GACGAACCGUCCAAACGUUAUUCGGAAUCACUGGGCUUAAAGGGUGCGUAGGCGGUCCGGUAAGUUGGGUGUGAAAGCCCUCGGCCUAACCGAGGAACGGCGCCCAAAACUGUCGGACUUGAGCAAGGCAGUGGUGAGCGGAACUUAGGGUGGAGCGGUGAAAUGCGUUGAUAUCCUAAGGAACACCAGGAGCGAAAGCGGCUCACUGGGCCUUUUCUGACGCUGAGGCACGAAAGCCAGGGGAGCGAACGGG